AAUCUGAAGCGCAAUCGCGAAUCAACAAAUAAUUUUCAAAUUUUUACAUGUUUUCUUUCUGUAUAUCUGGAAUCUGGAUAAUGGAGUAUAGAAUUGCGAUUUCGGGGAGGUGGGUUUCCUGUCAAGAGAAAGGCAUCAACUUUGACUCUUCCCUGUCUCUCAGUCAGCAACACAAACACAAGCCCUGCAACUUCUACUCUGCAGUCUGCCCCAACUCACUCCUCUUUCAGAUCUUUGUAAUUUUCCGUAUAUGCAAACAGUAAGGAUCCUAUAACAGGUUCUGAUAUUCCUUGAUAAUUACCAUAUACGGGAAAUCGGGGAAAAGCUCCUACAAACUGGCGGAUUGUUAGGAUGUCUGCAUAUUUAACCAAAAAUCAUGAAAGAUAAAUCAAUUCAAUGGUAGUAAAGCCUCCUCAGGAUCCUAUAUCAAUAGCUGGAGGUAUUAUACAUGCCAUCAGAGCUAAAAUCUUCAUUGACCUGGAUAAUGUUGGAUGAUAUGGUUGUACCACUGCCAAAUGGAGAUUUUGAUGUGUCUAUGCUUAAGGAAGCUGUGGAAUGGAUCAAUGGGAGAUUUGAGACGGAGGCAUCAAGCAAUGUUACUCUAGAAACAGUACACAAAAUCCGACAAACAGGGGUGACCAACAUUUCUAGUGAUGUACCGACUCAUUCUGUAAAAGCACUUGACGUCUCCCUCAAAACUGAUACAGAGCUGGGCCUUCAAGUUGGACGGGAGUACAAAGCGAGCAUGAUUUGGUUUGCACUACAUUUUCUAUCUUUCUUUGAUGAAAUAUCCAACUUUCUCAAGUGUUCAUGACUAUGAAAAUAGGGGAAUAAAAGGGUAACCACCUUUUGUGUUUCUCUCAGAUAGUCAGAUUGUUUGAGCUGAAGGAAUCUCUUUGCAGCAGCCAGCCUUGAAAAUGAAUCUGAAUGUGAAGUCCACCAAAUUUGGUCUCUACUUUUCUUUUUUUCUUUUUGCUUUUUUAACAAGCCAGUACUCUUGUUUCUCCAAAUCAUAAAGGCUAAAUCUCUAGACUUUCUUUUGUUUUGACGAUGAAACACUUGAUGACCAUUCUUCAACUUCUUCCUAGUAUACUCUUCAUGGUUUUCCAUGGGAAAUUUCGACUGGAAAAAGGCUGCUGCUCAUAUGUUUCAAACUUUCUAUUUUGCAAUCUAACUUAAAUCGUACAGUCUA